rnacentral:rRNA from 1 species
UACGGGGGGGGCAAGCGUUGUUCGGAAUUACUGGGCGUAAAGGGCUCGUAGGCGGCCAACUAAGUCAUACGUGAAAUCCCUCGGCUUAACCGGGGAACUGCGUCUGAUACUGGAUGGCUUGAGUUCGGGAGAGGGAUGCGGAAUUCCAGGUGUAGCGGUGAAAUGCGUAGAUAUCUGGAGGAACACCGGUGGCGAAAGCGACUCCUGGCCUGUUCUGACGCUGAGG